rnacentral:lncRNA from 1 species
AAAAAAAAAACAAAAAAAAAAAAAAAACAUGACAUCGAUAGGCCGUUAUUAAUGGAGCUACUGUAAGUACUGGCGAAGAUGGACACGAAAACUUAAAAUUCAAUAUCCAUUAUCAGAUCACCAGUCCUGAGCUGCAGUAUGUGCUACCUGCCAACAUACCAGUACUUUCUAUGGAGGCAUUAUAAUAAUUUUGAUCGGUUCUUGAAUAUGGUCUUGUGCAAACAAUUGUAUUUUCAAGCCUUGAAACUUGUUUAACAACACUUAAAUCUAUUCUGAACAACUUUGUUUCCUGACUUCAUCUGAACUGGAUCAAAAAGUACUAAGAAGUUUCAAAAGCUCAAGAUUGUCAAAAUCGGGCCAGUUUGCAGAAUUCUGAAAUGCGAGGAUGCAACUAGAUGUGAAAAAAAGGAGGCGAUUGAAUACUUUCUUAAUAACCUUUGUGAAAACUAUGAGGGAAAAAGGCAUUCGUACUUCUGUUACUAUGAUUCAUGGUGAAACUAUUGACGAUUCUAAUUGAUACACUCUUGCAUGGACCCUAUCAAUUUGAGGAUAUUCAUAAUCUGUAAAAACGUUAAAUAUGUGAUAUUCCCAAUGCGAUCAAAAUGAUGGAAUAUUCUUACUUUCCAAGGAGCUGGAGAAAUUGAAUUGUAUAGUUACUAAGGGACAUUAAGAAAUUUUGAUUUCAUUUAUCACUAUUUGUAUUUG